AGAUUGAACGCUGGCGGCAUGCCUUACACAUGCAAGUCGAACGGCAGCACGGGAGCAAUCCUGGUGGCGAGUGGCGAACGGGUGAGUAAUACAUCGGAACGUGCCCAGUUGUGGGGGAUAGCCCGGCGAAAGCCGGAUUAAUACCGCAUACGACCUACGGGUGAAAGCGGGGGAUCGCAAGACCUCGCGCUAUUGGAGCGGCCGAUGUCGGAUUAGCUUGUUGGUAGGGUAAAAGCCUACCAAGGCUACGAUCCGUAGCUGGUCUGAGAGGACGACCAGCCACACUGGGACUGAGACACGGCCCAGACUCCUACGGGAGGCAGCAGUGGGGAAUUUGGACAAGUGGGCGAAAGCCUAGAUCCAGCCAUGCCGCGUGCGGGAAGAAGGCCUUCGGGUUAGUAAACCGUC
rnacentral:rRNA from 1 species